CUCUCCGGGUUCUGCUGCCUCCCUGUGCCCGGAGCCUGUGUCUGGGUUUGGACCCCUUCUGGAGUUCUGACUGUUCUAACUGGGGACGAUGGCUGCACCUGGGAGGCAGAGUCACCCCUCUGGAGAACAGAGGAGGGCUUGGCCAUCCAUUGUUCUCUAAACUCUGGCUCUUCUUCCCUCUUACGGAAUCUGAUGCCCCUCUGCUUAGAUUCCUGAUGCAAUGUUCCAGAAUACUAGUGAUAGCCAGGCUUCCACUUUACAGCAUAGACUCUGGUCCUGUGGGCAGGAGAUGUGGGGUUGACAUGGAGCGGGGCCUGGGGGUCUACGUGUCUGGACCCAGAAAGGGUCCCUGAAGAGCUCAGACGGGGGCCGGAAGUGAGGGGAGACCGUGAGGGGCCACCCCGCUCCUGGCCACCAGAUAGAUGCAGGAGGCCUGGCCUCCUGGCCCUUAAUGUUUGUCAGCUCUGUCUGUCGUUGAUAGAAUCUUUUGUUUUCACUUGUGGCCUCGUCAACUUCCAAGAAUGUUUUCGUCUCAAGCUGUCCAGGGUCCCCGGCCCACGGCCUGGCUCCGCCCGAGGGUGAGGAUUCCCUCCUCUUCCUUCCCGGCUUUGUCCUGCUUCCUGUGGCCAGUAGGACAUGCGGCCGGCGCAGGGCCUCGGCGGCUGGGGCACGUGCUCUGUGCCUGCAGAGGGGAGAUGGGCAUGGCGGGGGGAGGUGCUUCUUUCAUUCUUGCCCUCUGCUCUGCCAGCGGGAGCAGGUUGGAGGGUAUUUGAGGAGGUGGUGCCCCAGAGUCUUGCUAGGACUGCAGUGUUACCCACCUGCCAGGGGCUGGGAGCUUCAUUCAAUCUCAGGGGAAAUCCUGGUUGGAAGUCAAAAAUACUACUUUAGGAACUGCAACUUCGUUUCAGUGUCUUAAAAUAGAGAAUUUUUCCUUCA